rnacentral:piRNA from 1 species
UGCACAGGGAAGAUGCUGGCUUUGAUGUU